rnacentral:rRNA from 1 species
AACGAACGCUGGCGGCAGGCCUAACACAUGCAAGUCGAGCGGACAUCUUCGGAUGUUAGCGGCGGACGGGUGCGUAACGCGUGGGAACGUGCCCUUUGCUUCGGAAUAGCCUCGGGAAACUGGGAGUAAUACCGGAUGUACCCUUUGGGGGAAAGAUUUAUCGGCAAAGGAUCGGCCCGCGUUGGAUUAGGUAGUUGGUGGGGUAAUGGCCUACCAAGCCGACGAUCCAUAGCUGGUUUGAGAGGAUGAUCAGCCACACUGGGACUGAGACACGGCCCAGACUCCUACGGGAGGCAGCAGUGGGGAAUCUUAGACAAUGGGGGAAACCCUGAUCUAGCCAUGCCGCGUGAGCGAUGAAGGCCUUAGGGUUGUAAAGCUCUUUCACCGGCGAAGAUAAUGACGGUACCCGGAGAAGAAGCCCCGGCUAACUCCGUG